rnacentral:rRNA from 1 species
AGUGAACGCUGGCGGUAGGCCUAACACAUGCAAGUCGAACGGCAGCACAGUAAGAGCUUGCUCUUACGGGUGGCGAGUGGCGGACGGGUGAGGAAUACAUCGGAAUCUACUUUUUCGUGGGGGAUAACGUAGGGAAACUUACGCUAAUACCGCAUACGACCUACGGGUGAAAGCAGGGGAUCUUCGGACCUUGCGCGAUUGAAUGAGCCGAUGUCGGAUUAGCUAGUUGGCGGGGUAAAGGCCCACCAAGGCGACGAUCCGUAGCUGGUCUGAGAGGAUGAUCAGCCACACUGGAACUGAGACACGGUCCAGACUCCUACGGUAGGCAGCAGUGGGGAAUAUUGGACAAUGGGCGAAAGCCUGAUCCAGCCAUACCGCGUGGGUGAAGAAGGCCUUCGGGUUGUAAAGCCCUUUUGUUGGGAAAGAAAAGCAGCAGGUUAAUACCCCGCUGUUCUGACGGUACCCAAAGAAUAAGCACCGGCUAACUUCGUG